AUUUUCAGCACCUGUCACUACUGCUGUGGAAGAGGGUCCUGCAUCCUCAGUAACUCCUGAAUUAAUUGCAACCAUUGUUCUCAGUGUUCUGCUAGCCUGCACCCUUGUAGCCUUCCUGAUCUACAUCGUUUUUUCUGUUAAAAGGAAAAGGUAUGGAAAGAAGCAAAUGGAGAUGGAAGGUGUUGAUAAUCCAUCUGUGGCUGACAAAAAUGGAAGUUUGAAAAACUUAGUGAAACCAGAGGGCAUGAACGAUGUAAGAAUGGAAACAAUAGCAGUUAACAACAUGGAAGGCACCAGGGAAGGUGGUGCUGAUGAAGACGUACCUGAAGCCAAACGAAAACAGAGUUUCCUUGAGAUGCUACAGUUAGAUUUUGACAGUGAUGAUGAAGAAAAUGCAGAGCUUGAAGGGGCCAAUGAACCUAGAAGUGUAGGUGCUGAGACCACUGCUAACAUCACAACAAAACAGGACCACUCAGAUCUUGGGUCAGCUCUCUCAUUAGCAUCCAAUCCACUAAAGCAUGCCGCUGAGAAAGAACUAAAAGGAGUAACAUUUUCAGAAGUGGCAAUUAUUUUGGAUGCCAAGCUUGAAAAAGAUGAGGAUGAUGAGGAUGAUGAUGUUUUUCCCCGAUAACUAUGCUUGAUGAAGAGAACUAUUGAAAACCAC
rnacentral:lncRNA from 1 species